UUGCCAUUUGAAAAUCAAAUGUUAAUACUCGUUUAGCGUAUAUAAUAUGAGGAACACGGAUUAUGGGGGAAAAUCGAAAUGCCGGUCGUAAUUUCAUAUAACCGUUUAUUCCGUUUAGUUUUGCUCGUGAAAUAACAUCAAUACAAAAACCCAAUAAAUAAACAUUAUAAUUAUAAUUUCGUUUACUAUAGCGAAUUUAAAGCGAUGUGUUUUUUUUGUUUUUUUCAUGGAAAUGUCUGUACCGUUGCACAUAUCUCCAUAAGAACACAAUCAUAAUGAACGAGUAUUUUACUAGCUGCAAUAGUAAUAUAAUAAUCAUACGAUUCAGGCCGUAUAGAGAUUACCGUGAGAAAAUGAGAAAGAAUGAGAGAUAUUUACCCUAUUAUGUACGAUAAAAUGAGUAAAUCCUCGUAGUACAC